UGCGUAACGCGUAGGUAAUCUGCCCUGAGGUCUGACAUAACCCGUCGAAAGGCGGGCUAACAUCAGAUGAUAUAUAAUCACGACAUCGUGGAAAUAUCAAAUCUUCGGAGCCUUGGGAUGAGCCUGCGUCUGAUUAGGUAGUUGGCGGAGUAAUAGCCCACCAAGCCUACGAUCAGUAGCUGGUCUGAGAGGAUGAUCAGCCACACUGGAACUGAGACACGGUCCAGACUCCUACGGGAGGCAGCAGUAAGGAAUAUUGCUCAAUGGGGGAAACCCUGAAGCAGCAACGCCGCGUGAAGGAUGAAAUACUUUGUAUGUAAACUUCUGUAAGAUGGGAAAAUAUUCUCCUCGGGAGAAUUGAUUGUACCAUCAGAGUAAGCCCCGGCUAACUACGUG
rnacentral:rRNA from 1 species